rnacentral:rRNA from 1 species
AUUGAACGCUGGCGGCAGGCUUAACACAUGCAAGUCGAACGAGUGGCGGACGGGUGAGUAAUGCUUGGGAAUCUAGCUUAUGGAGGGGGAUAACUACGGGAAACUGUCGCCAAUACCGCGUACCCUAGGAUGAGCCCAAGUGGGAUUAGGUAGUUGGUGAGGAAAAGGCUCACCAGGCCGACGAUCUCUCGCUGGUCUGAGAGGAUGACCGGCCAAACGGGGACUGGGACACGGCCCAGACUCCUACGGGAGGCAGCAGGGGGAAUGAUGGCGCAUGGGGGGCAGCCUGAGGAGCCAAUGCGGAGGGAAUGAGAAAGGCCUUGGGGUGGAAAAGUCCUUUAGGUAGGGAGGCGUUAACGAAAGAAGAAGCACCGGCUAACUACGUGCCAGCAGCCGCGGUAAUAC